rnacentral:rRNA from 1 species
AUACGGAGGAUGCAAGCGUUAUCCGGAUUCAUUGGGUUUAAAGGGUGCGCAGGCGGAACUAUAAGUCAGUGGUGAAAGCCUACAGCUCAACUGUAGAAUUGCCAUUGAUACUGUAAUUCUUGAGUAUAUUUGGAGUGGGCGGAAUGUAUCAUGUAGCGGUGAAAUGCUUAGAUAUGAUACAGAACACCAAUCGCGAAGGCAGCUCACUAAACUAUAACUGACGCUCAUGCACGAAAGCGUGGGGAUCAAACAGGAUUAGAGACCCUGGUAGUCCACGCCCUAAACGAUGAUCACUCGAUGUUGGCGAUAUACAGUCAGCGUCUGAGCGAAAGCAUUAAGUGAUCCACCUGGGGAGUACGAUCGCAAGGUUGAA